rnacentral:rRNA from 1 species
UACGAAGGGGGCUAGCGUUGCUCGGAAUCACUGGGCGUAAAGCGCACGUAGGCGGUUUCUUAAGUCAGGGGUGAAAUCCUGGAGCUCAACUCCAGAACUGCCUCCGAUACUGGCGAUCUUGGAGUCCGGGAGAGGUGAGUGGAACUCCGAGUGUAGAGGUGAAAUUCGUAGAUAUUCGGAAGAACACCAGUGGCGAAGGCGGCUCACUGGCCCGGUACUGACGCUGAGGUGCGAAAGCGUGGGGAGCAAACAGG